rnacentral:rRNA from 1 species
UGGACCUCGGAUCAGGAGGA